rnacentral:rRNA from 1 species
AUGGAAAGCUGCCUCCCAGUUGCCCUCCUAGCGCUAGGGAUCCUCCUCCAGCUCGCUGGCUGCAGCCCUCCACCAGACCCGGUGGUGUGCACGCACGGCACGUCCAACUGCACCAUCACCAACACGGUCGGCUUCUUCCUCUGCCCCGCGGCCAACGUCACCUACCCGCGGACGGAGCAGGAGCUCGUCGCAGCCGUGGCGGCCGUGGCGGCCGCAAAGCGGAAGGUAAAGGUAACCACCUCGCACGCACACAGCAUUCCCAAGCUCGCGUGCCCCGGCGGCCGCGACGGCACACUCAUAAGCACCGCGCGGUUGAACCGGACGGUGCACAUCGACGCUGAUAAGCGGCUCAUGACGGUGGAGAGCGGCAUGCUACUCCGGGACCUCAUGGAGGCCGCCGCAGCGGAGGGGCUGUCCCUGGCGCAUUCACCGUACUGGCACAGCCUAACCAUUGGUGGGCUCCUCGCAACUGGCGCGCACGGGAGCUCGCUGUGGGGCAAGGGAUCUGCUGUUCACGAGUAUGUGGUCGGGCUGAGGAUUGUGACGCCGGCGCCGGCUAGCCAGGGGUUCGCCGUGGUGAGGGAGCUUGGUGCCAAUCACCCGGACCUGGACGCCGCCAAGGUCUCCAUCGGCGUGCUGGGCGUCAUCUCUCACGUAAUUCUGGCAUUGCAGCCGUUGUUCAAGCGGUCGGUGACUUUCAUGAAGCGCGACGAUUCAGACCUUGCGGAUCGGGUGGCCACGUGGGGCCGCCUCCACGAGUUCGGCGACAUGUUAUGGCUGCCGCAGCAGGGCAAGGUCGUCUACCGCCAGGACGACCGCGUCGACGUCUCGACGCCGGGGGAUGGCCUCAACGACAACUUGAUUUUCCGUGCCACUCCCACCCAGGUGAUCAUUGCUGCAAGAUCCGCAGAGGAGCGGCUGCAGGAGAACGGCACUGACACUGCCCGAUGCGCGGCGGCACUGCUGCAGGCGGACACCAUGGAACGGCAGGCCUACGGCUUCACCAAUGAUGGCGUCUCAUUCACGGGGUACCCGGUGGUGGGGUACCAACAUCGCAUCCAAGCGUCUGGUACAUGCAUCGACAGCCCAGAGGACAGCCUCCGCUCCGCCUGCGCCUGGGACCCACGCAUCCCAGGCGCUCGCGCCGACAACUCCGGCUUCAGCGUUGCUCUCUCCAAGGCGCCGGCGUUCAUCGCUGACAUGCAGCGCCUCCGGGAUCUCAACCCGGAUGUGUUUUGUGUUGGCAUCGACUCUAGGACGGGUAUGUCCAUGCGCUACAUCAAGGCAUCCUCCGCUUACCUUGGCAAGCAGGAGGACUCGAUUGCCAUCGACAUCAACUACUAUCGUAGCAACAUCGACGGCACGCCGCGGGCGCACACCGACGUGGGCGACGAGAUCGAGCAGAUGGCACUGUGGAAGUACGGUGCCCUGCCACACUGGGGCAAGAACCACGACAUCACUUUCGAUGGUGCCAUCUCGAAGUACUCAAAAGCCCACGAGUUCCUGGCGGUGAAGGAUAGCGAGUGGAGCGACCAGGUGCUCGGCAUCAAUGGGAGUCCGAAUGUCAUCAAGGAGCAUUGUGCCAUCGAAGGACUUUGCGUCUGCUCUGAGGACUCGCACUGUGCGCCGGAGCAGGGCUACCUCUGCCGACCGGGGAAGGUGUACACGAAGGCUAGAGUUUGCUCACUCGUCAAGGAUUAUUAG